GAUGAACGCUGGCGGUGUGCCUAAUACAUGCAAGUCGAGCGAACAGACGAGGAGCUUACUCCUCUGACGUUAGCGGCGGACGGGUGAGUAACACGUGUAUAACCUACCUAUAAGACUGGGAUAACUUCGGGAAACCGGAGCUAAUACCGGAUAACAUGUUGAACCGCAUGGUUCAACAGUGAAAGACGGUCUUGCUGUCACUUAUAGAUGGAUCCGCGUCGCAUUAGCUAGUUGUUAAGGUAACGGCUUACCAAGGCAACGAUGCGUAGCCGACCUGAGAGGGUGAUCGGCCACACUGGAACUGAGACACGGUCCAGACUCCUAGGGGAGGCAGCAGUAGGGAAUCUUACGCAAUGGGCGAAAGCCUGACGGAGCAACGCCGCGUGAGUGAAGAAGGUCUUCGGAUCGUAAAACUCUGUUAUUAGGGAAGAACAAAUGUGUAAGUAACUAUGCACGUCUUGACGGUACCUGAUCAGAAAGCCACGGCUAACUACGUG
rnacentral:rRNA from 1 species